UUACUAUAAAACGUUCACCCUUUCACCAAUCUUCACCGCGGCAAACAAGCAACAUGUUGGUGUCAUUUUAUUUAAUUUUUGCACUCGCUUUGAUUUCGGCUGCAUUAGCCAUUCCAGAAAAUAACAGGCAACCAUGCGAAAGAACUAGCGACUGUCCUGAAGGGAAAACGUGCCUCCUAUACGGAUUACAUAAAUAUUGCUACCCUUAAUUUUGUGAGUGGCACAGAGGAAGGUAUAAUGUCAAACACUGACUUUUAACAAUAACAUCUGGUUUGAAUGAAAAGAUACCAAGGUUUGAAAUUGUCAUAUGGAUUUAAAUACAAAACAAAAAACUC